GCUGACUGUUGGAGAGGAGGCUCCAGAGGGAAUAUAGGCCAGGUCCACGUACACACUGACUUCACCAGCAGAGUUGGUGUGGUGAGAGCAGUCCUUUGUGAAACAGCAGGUCACCGCUGUAUUCCACGCUCUGACCGGCCAAGAUCAACAGCUUAUGUGCCGAUUCCCUGGACAGCAGAGCAAACACCUGGCCAGGCCACAGAGAGAUGCGGGAAAUCCAACGAGCGCGUCUCCAGUGAGGAGUCCUCUGCGCGAGCGAGCCACAGGUAGGCGUAGCAGCAGGUGACCGCGAGGAGGAGAGCCCGAGCGCUGACCAUGGUGCUGACACACGA